ACUCUCUUAGUAUAAAUAAUAUAACUGACUUCCAAUCAGUAGAUUCUGAAACCACGGAAGAGAGUA
rnacentral:tRNA from 1 species